AAAGUGGCGCACGGGUGCGUAACACGUCACAUCUACCUUUGGAUCUUGAAUAACUUCGAGAAAUCGAGGCUAAUACCGGAUAAUGCAGCGGCACCGAUGGUGAUGUGUUAAAGUUUAGUAAUGCCUAUAGAUGAGCUUGCGCCUGAUUUAGCUAGUUGGUAGGGUAAAGGCUACCAAGUACGAUCAGUAGCUGGUUUUGAGAGGAUGAUCAGCACAUGGAACUGAACACGGCCCAGAACUCCUACGGGAGGCAGCACCGAGGAAUAUUGGGCAAUGCCCGAAAGGGUGACCCAGAACGCCGCGUGGAGGGUCGACAGGCCGAAGGUUGUAAACCUCCCUGUCAGAGGAGAAGAACAGUACCGGAUUGGGAUCGGANNNGACUCGUACCCUCCAAAGAAAAGCCCCGGAAACUACUGGCCAACAAGACGCGGGAAUACCAAAGGGGGCAAGCAGUGCCGNAACAGGGGGGCAACAGGGGCACAGGGGAAACCAAGCACACGGGCGGAAAUCCUCACACGGCACUCAAACUCGANCAACACUGGGCAUUCGAAAACCGGGCCAAUCUCGGGCAUAGCGGGCCACAGACAGACAGCGNCAAUC
rnacentral:rRNA from 1 species